GCCUGCUUAGCUCAGCGGUUAGAGCAUCGCUUUUGUAAUGCGAUGGUCAUCGGUUCAAUUCCGAUAGCUGGCU
rnacentral:tRNA from 1 species